UAAAAGGGUUAGUCUUGCCCUUAAUAUUAGGUAUUCUGAACUUAUACAUGCAAGUCUCCUCCAUACGGUGAGUUCCUUUAUAUUUAAAUGUAUAAAGAGACUUUAUAAGAUUUUAUUUUAAAUUAAAUUAACUUCACACCCCCAAGGGUAUUCAGCAGUAAUUAACAUUAAGCCAUAGACAAAAGUCUGACUUAAUUAAAGAAUAUUAAAGUGUCCAAAAUCGUGCCAGCAGACGCGGUUAUACAAUUACUUUAGUCUAAUAUAAAACGGCGUAAAGAGUAAACUUUUCUUUCUUUAAUCUCUAAAACUAAACCAAUUUACUAUAGUUAAAUAUGUAAAUUUUUCAAACACCAACUAAAGCAGUUUUAAGAACAAGCUUAUAACUUUACGAAAGUUAGGACCCAAACUAGGAUUAGACACCCCACUAUGCCUAACCGUAAACAAAGAAUUUUGCGCCCGAAUACUACGAGCACAAGCUUAAAAUUCAAAAGACUUGACGGUGUCCUAUCCCCCUAGAGGAGUUCGUUUCCUAAACGAUAAUCCGCGAUUCACCUUACCAUUUUUACCAGUUUAUAUACCGCCGUCGAAAGCCAACCCUACCUAAAGGAACAGGCAAAAUGGCCUUAGCCAAAACGUCAGGUUAGGUGUAACCUAUAAAAUGGAAAAAACGAACUACAUUAAUAAUCUAUUAUUUAUAUAAAACAAAUGAAAACUUAGUUAAAAUUGAAUUUAGAAGUAAAUAAAAACCAGAUAAUUUUAUUGAACUGAGCCAUAUGACACGCACACACCGCCCGUCACUCCCAAAACGUUUUGGGAAAAGUCGUAACACGGUAAGUGUACCAGAAGGUGCACUUGGACC
rnacentral:ncRNA from 1 species